ACAGUCAAAUCAUGCUGAAAACAUCAAUUCUCAUGUGAUCACUGAAACUAAGCAGUAUCAAGCCUGGUCAGAACUUAGAUGGGUGACCAUUUGGGAGUACUGGGUACUGUAAG